rnacentral:rRNA from 1 species
ACGAUGAUGCCCAGCUUGCUGGGCGGAUUAGUGGCGAACGGGUGAGUAACACGUGGGUGAUCUGCCCUGCACUUCGGGAUAAGCCUGGGAAACUGGGUCUAAUACCGGAUAUGACCAUGGGAUGCAUGUCCUGUGGUGGAAAGGUUUACUGGUGCAGGAUGAGCCCGCGGCCUAUCAGCUUGUUGGUGGGGUAAUGGCCUACCAAGGCGACGACGGGUAGCCGGCCUGAGAGGGCGACCGGCCACACUGGGACUGAGACACGGCCCAGACUCCUACGGGAGGCAGCAGUGGGGAAUAUUGCACAAUGGGCGAAAGCCUGAUGCAGCGACGCCGCGUGAGGGAUGACGGCCUUCGGGUUGUAAACCUCUUUCAGCAGGGACGAAGCGCAAGUGACUGUACCUGCAGAAGAAGCACCGGCUAACUACGUGCCAGCAGCCGCGGUAAUACGUAGGGUGCGAGCGUUGUCCGGAAUUACUGGGCGUAAAGAGUUCGUAGGCGGUUUGUCGCGUCGUGUGUGAAAUCCCGCAGCUCAACUGCGGGCUUGCAGGCGAUACGGGCAGACUUGAGUACUGCAGGGGAGACUGGAAUUCCUGGUGUAGCGGUGAAAUGCGCAGAUAUCAGGAGGAACACCGGUGGCGAAGGCGGGUCUCUGGGCAGUAACUGACGCUGAGGAACGAAAGCGUGGGUAGCGAACAGGAUUAGAUACCCUGGUAGUCCACG